AGACACCCUUCUGGGGCAAGACUUGCUUCAGUAGGGCUUUGGUGCUCACUGAGUCUUCCCCCUGAGUGUGUCCCU
rnacentral:pre_miRNA from 1 species